CCCUUACAUGCUCUGGGCUGCACGCGCGCUACAUUGGUUCGUUCAAUGGGUCUAGCCUUACCCGAAAGGGCAAGGUAAUCUCCAAAGCGAAUCUACGUUGGGAUGGACGAUUGCAAUUUUUCGUCCUGAACAAGGAAUAUCUAGUAAACGCAAGUCAUCAACUUGCAUUGAUUACGUCCCUGCCCUUUGUACACACCGCCCAUCGCUCCAAUUGAUUGAAUAAUUAAAUGAACCGAGUGGAUUGCGCGGUCCCCGUGUAAAAGGCUCUGUGAAUAUGAUUGUUUAGAAAUUGGACAAGUCGUAACA
rnacentral:rRNA from 1 species